rnacentral:tmRNA from 1 species
GGGGCUGAUCGGUUUCGACGCCGACUGCAGUGGACGUUUCGUGCGACCAGAGUUGCUCAGACUCUUAAAACAGGGCACCAAAAGAGACGCCACUACGGACGAUCUCGCUCUCGCUGCCUAACUAGUUAGGUAGUAGAGAGUCACUGCGACCGGUGACGGCACGCGGGGUCGGUCCACCGCAACCCGGCAACAGAAGCGUUGGAGACAGCAGGGACAGACCGCUGACGGCGAGAAAGACCGCUGACUUUGGGGAAAGACCUAGCGGCUGGGCUUUCGGGCCCGACUGACCCGGCGGGAUGGCUGCCGCAAGCCAAAAUCUCGGGAACGGUCGUAACGCGUACGGUCACCCUUCGACGGACGGGGGUUCGAUUCCCCCCAGCUCCACCA